rnacentral:misc_RNA from 1 species
UCUCGGCUUAUCACCGGCAGUCCCCCUAGAGUGCCCAACUGAAUGAUGGCAACUAAGGGCGAGGGUUGCGCUCGUUGCGGGACUUAACCCAACAUCUCACGACACGAGCUGACGACAGCCAUGCAGCACCUCGACUUCAGUCCCUUGCGGGAAAACCUCUGUUUCCAAAGGUCGUCCAAAGCCGUUCGAGCCCAGGUAAGGUUCUUCGCGUUGCAUCGAAUUAAGCCACAUGCUCCACCGCUUGUGCGGUCCCCCGCCAAUUCCCUUGAGUUUCAACCUUGCGGCCGUAGUCCCCAGGCGGUUCACUUAAUGCGUUAGCUACGGCACGGAGCCCGUUGAUAAGGCCCCACACCUAGUGCCCAACGUUUACGGCGUGGACUAC